rnacentral:lncRNA from 1 species
UAAAGAAAGAUAUUUCAGACAGCUAGAAAUGUAUGGUAAAAAGAUAUAUUUGCUUUUAAUUUGCUGAUAUAUUUGAAAGAUGCAGAUUAUAUUGACAAAUAUUGCCAUAGCUUUACUGGUCAAGCUAUGAUAUGACAAAUAUAGCUGAUUUGGGAUUGGUUUUGGCAUAUUGGUAAUAUCAUUUAUUAUACAUGUAUUUUAAUAAUUUCGAUU